GCACGUCCCGCACCUUUUCCAGUGCGGCAGCUAACAGUAAGGCGGUGGGCGGCUGGUGAUUGCAGUGCAUAACCUUGGCAUACACUCUUUCUCAAGCUCCGUGCGGAUUGUUUUUUCCGCUAUCGUGAAUUUUACUUCCGGCUGCAACUGGGCAGACUUAUGGCACUAUUUUUUCACGUCCUUAUUCCUUACAACUCGCGCUCCCAAAUUAUUGCGCUUUGUGUAAGCGGUCAAAGUACACGUACUUUGCCGUUCCUACUUGCUACAUUGGUUUGUAGUUCCGUGCGGUGUGGUUAUUUAACACCCUCUUUAAUCACUCCAAAGUGAACGGACGAUUUUUUUGCUUUUCCAGAGUGCAAAAAAAUGUUUCCAAUAAAAAAACUCUUUUGUUU
rnacentral:ncRNA from 1 species